AUCGAGAAGGAGAGGGAACGAUGACUACAAACAAGAUGGCCUUCUCCCCCGACCCGACCUCCUUCCCAGGCACUCACACGCCCUCCUGUCCACAACCCUCCGCGUGUGUGGUACCUGACGGGAGUCGCAGUCCAUCUGCUGCCUUCCCGCUGCCAUUUCUACUCGUCAGGAACAAUGGAAAGGUGAAAAGGAAAGAGGACUACAAGCAAGAUGGCGGAAGAGGGACAUACACCUGACUAGUAGUCGAUCUUACGAGGUGCGAUGGGAUUAGUAGUUUUAUAGCCUUCCAGUGUUCCUUAAGAAUGGCGGAACCAGGAGGACGAGGAGACUACCGUAAAGAUGGCAGGCUACCUAGCCUCUCCCGGUCUCCGCUUUCCACCACCUUGGGCACCUCGCCCGCCUGUGGUCUCGAAAUCCCCCCCACCAGUGGCGCACGGCCUGACGGGAGUUGCAGUCUCCCGGCUCCCGUCUAUCAUCUCAAGUCGAGACAAUGGAAGGGGAUGGGGCGGGGCCACCGGCAAAGAUGGCGGCUGCAGGGCCGGGGCGACUGCGACAUGGGAUGUGUAGUCCAGGCGUCUGGCCUCUUCCCUGCGGAAAUGAGGGAGAGGACUACGAAAAAGAUGGCGACCUCGCCCCUCGACCUCUGCGCCGGUGCCUGCUGGGAAAUGUAGUUCCUUGCCGAGUCCAACAGAGAAAGGACGUCGCUGUUGAAAUGUGAAUCCCGGCGGACACGCCAAAUUGCGAGGCGACGGAAACGGAAAGACUCUUUUCUCCUCUCUCCGCCACCGGCUUCUGAACAGCCUGGCGGGAAAUGUAGUCCCAAGCUUUCACUCGCGAGUGGAGGGGAAGGAUUUAUGUCACCAGUGGGGAUCAGUGCGGGUGGGGGAGAAAAACGUCGGGCGAUCCGGGAAUAAAGAAUGUCCGCCUCUCCAUGGGGCGAGGACUUCGCGUUUCAGGGGAGGGCCCUUAAAGGAAGGCAGCAGGAAUCAGUCUUGUCGAACAGGGGGGCGUGGUUCUCGUCGAGAGUGCAUUCACACUCUUGUUCCCUAGAAAGCCUGGGCACCUCCCACUCGAUUCCUGCUCCUCAGACCUCCGGGAAUCAGUGUCUUACAAGACGUGCGGGCUCCGGGGAAAAGGACCUGGAGUCACAGCGAAUCCCCGCCCCGCCCCGGGAAGCCACCAAACCUUGCUUUUUCUCAUCUGCAAAAUGGGGACAAUGGGGAUAAUGAUCCCCACCUCGAAGCACAGUUGUGAGUGUUAAACAAGCCAAUGUUCUUGUCACCAAAGUGCCCAACUCUGGCACGGGGCACGCGGUGGUAGAUCCCUUUCUAAGGUCCCUUCCAGCCCAGCCGUUCUGGGAGCCCAGGAAUCCAUGAUGCCGGACAGAGUUCGCUCCUGUGAGAAGAAAACUGACCCGCAGGCUCCUCCCAGAUUGAACCGACCCCCGCCCCUCCUCAUCGGGGUCCUCCAGCGUCUGUUACCGAGCACUGCUCCCAGGGGGCGCUCAAUCUCCAUUCGACUGAGGUACUACAAACACGAUUUCCGCAACCUGGAGUUGGAGGCAUUGCAGGCUGUCCAGCCUCAUCCCCUGCCUGAUAUCCAGUCAGCCUUGGAGGCCUCUGCCUAGACACUUCAACUGCCUAUGCAAAUGGAACGGCUUCUCAUCUUUCUGCCGUUUUUUGGUUUUUUUUGUGUGUGUUUUAAGGUCUUGCUCUGUCACUUGGGUUGGAGUGCAGUUGCAGGAUCAUAGUUUGCUGCAGCCUCGACCUCCUGGGCUUAAGCGAUCCUCCUCCCUCAGCCUUGUGAAUACCUGGGACUUCAGGCACGCGCCACUACACCCAGCUAAUUUUUAAACUAUAAUUUUUUUUUGUUCAGACGAAGUCUCGCUAUGUUGCCCAGGCUGGUCUCGAACUCCUGGCCACAAGUGUGCCUCCCGCCUUGGCCUCCCUAAGUGUUGGGAUUAUAGGUGUGAGCCAGCAGCCAUACCCCUCUUCUCAAUCUUCCUUCUCCCCUGGAAAACCUGCUCACUUCUGACCCCAAGACAGCCCCCUCCCCUUCCCUCUGUCUUCUGUGUUUGGCAGACCAGCCCCAGCGAGGACUUGUUGGUUGUGGUUUUUCUAUCAGGGAAGUCAAUGGCUGGCCAGUGUAGUGUGAAGUCCCAGCUUGGCAGAGACUUGCCCAAGGCUGGAUAGGAGGCUUCUUUGCCGCUCAGGCUUUAUCAGUCAGGAAAUCCUUAGCCCUCCCUAGAGGAUUGGCUGUCCCCUCUAUCCUCACUGCUUGAAUUUGGUGUUGCAUGAUUGAUUUCUACCCUGUUCCCUCUGCUUGAGGGCUAUCCUCCCCAUGCCCAUCUCACUUCUCCACCAAGUUCACUGUUCAUCAUUUACAGGUCUCUAUUUAUGUAUUUAUUAUUUAUUUUUCUACUUUCCCACUUUUCUAAAAGGUCUCUAUUUAAAUGCCACUGUCAAUCCCAGCACUUUGGGAGGCCUAGGCGGGCGGAUCAUGAAGUCAAGAGUUCGAGACCAGCAAUGGCCAGUAUGGUGAAACCCUGUCUCUCCUAAAAAUACAAAAAUUAGCCGGGCAUGGUGGAAUGUGCCUGUAAUCCCACCUACUCGAGAGGCUGAGGCAGCAGAAUUGCUUGAACCCGGGAGGUGGAGGUUACAGUGAGCUGAGAUCGUGCCACUGCACUCCAUCCUGGACGACAGAGUGAGACUCUGUCUCAAACCAAUCAAUCAAUCAAUCAAUCACUGUCCUGGCCAGUUGCAGUGGCUCACGCCUAUAAUCCCAACACUUCGGGAGGCCAAGGUGAGAGGAUAACUUGAAACUAGGAGUUCAAGACCAGCCAAGGCAACAUAGUGAGGCCCCAUCUUUACAAAAAUACAAAAAUUAGCUGGACGUGUAGUCCCAGCUACUUAGGAGGCUGAGGGGCAAGGAUUGCUUGAGGCUGAGAGAUUGAGCCUGCAGUGAGCUAUGACGAUGCCACUCGCUGCAUUCAAGUCUAGAUGACAGAGCAAGACCCUGCUCCUGGACAUACUACUAAGUGCUUUCAGCAUUUCAUGUGGUCCUCAUAAAAAUCUUGAGGGCCGGGCAUGGUGGCUCACGCCUGUAAUCUCAGCACUUUGGGAGGCCAAGGCAGGUGGGUCACCUGGGGUCAGGAGUUCGAGACCAGCCUGACCAAUAUGGUGAAACCCCAUCUCUACUAAAAAUAGAAAAAUUAGCCAGGUGUAGUGGUGUGCACCUGUAGUCCCAGCUCUUCAGGAGGCUGAGAAAAGAGAAUUGUUUGAACCUGGAAGGCGGAGGUUGCAGUGAGCCAAGAUCACAGCACUGCACUGCUGCCUGGGCGACAGCGAGACUCUAUCUCAAAAAAAAAAAAACCCACACAACCUUAUGAGGUAGAAUUCCAUUUUAGAGACGAGGAAACUGGGACCCUCAAUUAUGCAGAAUGGAUGAGUGGUACCGCCAAAAUUCAAACCCCAGACUCCCGAACUCAUGCUCAGAACUAUUACAACAUGCAGAAACAACAAAUCCAGUCAUGUGUGCAUUUAAUUUGGCAUAGCAACAACAACACAUUUCUCAGGCAAAAUGGAUUUCCAGCUUCUCUUGAAAAGUCCUGAAAUCUAGUCCAGGACCGUGGAUUGUAUUUAAAAAAAUAAAAAUAGAAGAAGAAAAGGCCGGGCAUGGUGGCUCAUGCCUGUAAUCCCAACACUUUGGGAGGCUAAGGCAGCUGGAUCACUUGAGGCCAGGAGUUCAAGACCAGCCUGGCAAACAUGGUGAAACCCCGUCUCUAUUAAAAAUACAAAAAUUAGCUGGGCGUGGUGGCGUGCACCUGUAGUCCCAGCUACUCAGGAUCCUGAGGCAUGAGAAUUGCUUGAACCUGGGAGGCAGAGGCUGCAGUGAGCCAAGACAAUGCCACUACACUCCAGCCUGGACAACAGAGCGAGACUCAGUCUCAAAAAAAAAAAAAAAAAAAAAGGGCCGGGUGUGGUGGCUCAUGCCUGUAGUCCCAGCACUUUGGGAGGCCAAGGUGGGCGGAUUACCUGGGGUCGGGAGUUUGAGACCAGCCUGACCAACAUGGAGAAACCCUGUCUCUACUAAAAAUACAAAAUUAGCCAGGCACAGUGGCACAUACCUGUAAUCCCAGCUACUCAGGAGGCUGAGGCAGGAGAAUCGCUUGAACCGGGGGGGCAGAGGUUGCCGUGAGCCAAAAUCAUGCCACUGUGCUCCAGCCUGGCAACAAGAGUGAAACUCAAAAAGAAGAAGAAGAAGAGGAGGAGGAGAAGGAGAAGAAGAAAGGAAGAAGAAGAAGAAGAAGAAGAAGAAGAAGAAGAAGAAGAAGAAGAAGAAGAAGAAGAAGAAGGAGAAGAAGGAGAAGAAGAGGAGGAGGAGAAGGAGAAGAAAGGAAGAAGAAGAAGAAGAAGAAGGAGAAGAAGAAGAAAGAAGAAGGAAGGAAGAAAGAAGAAGGAAGGAGAAGAGGAAGAAAGAAGAAGAAGGAAGAAGAAGAGGGAGGAGGAAGGAGAAGAAGGAAGGAGGAGGAAGGAGGAGGAGGAAGGAGGAGAAGGAGGAGGAAGGAGAAGAAGGAAGAAGAAGGAGAAGGAGAAGAAGAAGAAGGCGGUUUUUAUAGCUUCUGCCUAGAAGUGACAUGUCAAUUCAGCUCACAUUUUAUUGACCUGUCAAAUAGCUAACCCUGGCCAGGCAAGGUGGCUCAUGCAUGUAAUCCCAACACUUUGGGAGGCUGAGUUGGGCAGACUGCUCAAGCCCAGGAGCCCAAGGCCAGCGUGGGCAACUUGGCAAGGCUGUGUCUCUGCAAAAGAAUACAAAAAUUAGCUGGAGUGGUGGUGCACAUGUGUAGUCCUAGCUACUCGGGAGGCUGAGGUGGGUGGAUCGCUUGAGCCCAGGAGGUCCAGGCUGCAGUGAGCCAUGAUCGAGCCACUGCACUCCAGCCUGGGCGACAGAGUGAGACCCUGUCUAAAAAUAUUACAGAGAUAGGCCGGGCGUGGUGGCUCACGCCUGUAAUCCCAGCACUUUGGGAGGCCGAGGCGGGUGGAUCACGAGGUCAGGAGAUUGAGACCAUCCUGGCUAACACGGUGAAACCCCGUCUCAACUAAAAAUACAAAAAAUUAGCCAGGAGAGGUGGCGGGCGCCUGUAGUCCCAGCUACGCAGGAGGCUGAGGCAGGAGAAUUGCGUGAACCCCGGUGGGUGGAGCCUGCAGUGAGCCGAGAUCGCGCCACUGCACUCCAGCCUGGGCGACAGCGAGACUCCGUCUCAAAAAAUAUGUAUAUAUAUUACAGAGAUAGCCAUAACUAAUUAAAGGGGUUAGAGAAGCCAACUCUUGCCACAUGCUUGGGAGAAGAACUAGAAAACCUGUGGACAGCCCUUAUGACAAGCACAGCUUCCUGCGGUUCCCAGGGGAAGUUAGUGCCACAGGAUGGAGGCUUUUUCUGGGAUACCACCCACUGCAAGGCACCCAAUAAUUGAACUCUUGUUAUGUGGGAUGGCAACAUCGAUAUAGAACAGAGGAGUCUGAUUGACACUGACCAACUUGGGCGAGUGAACGGAAAAUGCCUCUGUGAGAAGCUCAGGGUCAGCCUUGGGAUCAGCAAUCACCAAAAAGCCAAGCUCUCCAAGCUGCAGUGGAUCUGGUUACUGAAAAUCCCAGAAGUGAAGUGCCCAGCAGUGUGUAUGGCUUCAGAUGGCCGAGGAACAUGUUAGUAGACUUCACUGGCCAGUGAUCCUGGGGGAAUGGAUGGCAUCAAUGGCUGGGUUUGGGUUUAUUUUCUUUUUUUAGACAGGGUCUUGCUCUCUUGCCCAGGCUGGUGUGAAGUGGUGCAGUCAUAGUUCAAUGCAGCCUCGACCUCCUGGGCUCAAGUGAUCUUCGGCCUCUGGAAGUGCUGGUAUUAUAGGCAUGAGCCACCACACGAGGCCAAUAGCGGGGUUUCUACUGGCAAAAUUAAAAAAAAAAUCAAAAUCAACUGGGUAUGGUGGUGCCCACGUGUAGUACCAGCUACUCGGGAGGCUGGGGUAGGAGAUUGAGCCUGGGAGGUCAAGGCUGCAGUGAGCCAUGACUGAGCCACUGCAUUCCAGCCUGGGGAACAGAAUGAGACCUCAUCUCUAAAAAUAAAAAAUACAAAUAAAUAAAUACAUAGUUGGCUACCAUUGAAAAUAUUUAAAUAUCAAUCUAAGAUUAAAUAAUUUAAAAAGUCUGAGGUACAGAAUGGAAUAUACUAUACAUGUUAUGAAUACUAGUAAAUUGAAAGUAGUAAUAUAAUGAAAAAAUCUGGGUGUAGGGGAAGACUGAGGAAAAUAUUAAAAAUAAAUAGCGACUGGGCUGGGCAUGGUGGCUCAUGCCUGUAAUUUCAGCACUUUGGGAGGUCAAGGCAGGCAGGUCACUUAAGCCCAAGAGUUCCAGACCAGCCUGGCCAAGAUGGUGAAAACUGGUCUCUACUAAAAAUGUAAAAACUACCCGGGCAUGGUGUCGCAUGCCUGUAAUCCCAGCUACUCGGGAGGCUGAGGCUUGAGGAUCGCUUGAACCUGGGAGGCAGAGGUUGCAGUGAGCCAAGAUCGCGCCACUGCACUCCAGCCUGAGCAACAGAGUGAGACUCCGUCUCAAAAAAAAAAAAAAAAAAUGAACAAAGACAGGAUUUGAGCCAAAGCCCACUGCCUCCUAAAUUGCUGGGAUUCCCAAGAAUUCAGCUUCUAGUGUGACCAAAACAAAGAUGGAGACAAGUCGCCCUGCAGGGUAGGGCACAAUGGAGGUGGGGGUGGGAGGGCAGAGCUGCUGACCUCUGACCUCUGCCAAGGCAGACGCAUUGGACAACAGAGCAGGACCUGAGGUGAGGCUAAUUCCUCCAGGUGUGAAGAAACACCUUAGGGGGGCCAGGCGCAGUGGCUCACACCUGUAACCCCAACAUUUUGGGAGGCUGAGGCAGCCGGAUCACCUGAGGUCAGGAGUUUGUGACCAACCUGGCCAACAUGGUGAAACCCUCUACUAAAAAUACAAAAAUCAGUUGGUGUGGUGUCAGGCGCCUGUAAUCCCAGCUACUCGGGAGGCUGAGGCAGGAGAAUCACUUGAACCUGGGAGGUGGAAGUUGCAUUAAGCCAAGAUUGUGCCACUACACUCCAGCCUGGGCAACAGAGCGAGACUCUUGUCUCACAAAAAUAAAAUUAAAUAAAUAAAUAAAUAAUGAGUUUAUCCUUCAUGGUUUUCAAAUCUUUUUUUUUAAACUUGGAAGAAUCUUACAGGAAAUAUUAUUUAUAGUGAAGAAACAUUUAUCUGAAGUUCCACAGUUCUUUCAAUUAAACUUCUAUUUCUGUUCCUUUUGUUAAAUUCAAAUAAAGUUAAAUGUAAUUUUAAAAAUAGGA
rnacentral:lncRNA from 1 species